AUUGAACGCUGGCGGCAGGCCUAACACAUGCAAGUCGAGCGAGCGGCGGACGGGUGAGUAAUGUCUGGGAAACUGCCUGCUGGAGGGGGAUAACUACUGGAAACGGUAGCUAAUACCGCAUACCAUAAGAUGUUCCCAGAUGGGCUGAGCUAGUAGGUGGGGUAACGGCUCACCUAGGCGACGAUCCCUAGCUGGUCUGAGAGGAUGACCAGCCAAACGGGAACGGAGACACGGUCCAGAUUCCGAGGGGAGGCAGCGGAGGGGAAGAGUGCACAAUGGGGGAAAGCCUGAUGCAGCAAUGCCGCGUGUGGGAAGAAGGCCUUCGGGUUGUAAAGCACUUUCAGCGGGGAGGCGUUACCCGCAGAAGAAGCACAGGCUAACUCCGUGCCAGCAGCCGCGGUAAUUC
rnacentral:rRNA from 1 species